UAGCAAAGAACAUUGUUAGCGCAUUGCGAACCGCAAACACUUGAGAUCCCAUUGUGCUCGAGAGAACCCAUUGAGAUCUGAAUAACGUUAUAGCAUUCUAGCUACAACAACUUUCCUCGUCACCUUUCAUUCUUUCCUUCCUUCUUUAUUUCUUUUCUCAUCAUCUGCUGCAGUUGAGAUUCAAUCAUGGCUGCAAAACUUGAAGGUGGUGGAGCUUAUCUCUCUUCCUUUGUAGAUGUUGUUUUAGAGAAGCUGUCUCCAGCUCAAGACGACGACUCAUCCUAUGAAAGGAACAACUUGCUUGGAAGAUUGGAGAAAAGUUUGUAUGAUGUUGGACCUGUUCUUGAUGAUGCUGAGCAGAAGCAGUUCACUAACGAGAAAGUCAAGAGUUGGCUUGAUGAUCUCCAAGAUGCUCUCUAUAAGGCUGAUGACUUGCUCGAUGAACUUUCCGCUGAAGCUGCCAUUGCCACCCAAAGGGAUCCAGGUAACUCUUAUUCCUGCUCUCGUGUUGUUGAUUCAUAUAUUCAAGAUAGUGGUGACAUGGAAAAAGUAGUUCGAAGACUAGAAUCUGUUGUAGCACGCAAAAAUUUACUUCGUCUGAAGGAGAGUGCCAAGGUGGACAUGUCAUCAUGGAGAACUCCAUCCACAUCUCUCGUUGUAAGUUCCGACAUAUUUGGUCGGGACAACGACAAGGAAGAGAUAAUCAAAUUGUUGCUAGAUAAUGCUUGUCAUGCUGAAUUACCUGUCCCUGUGAUUCCCAUCGUGGGUCUGGGUGGAAUAGGAAAAACUACUUUGGCUCAACUGGUUUACAGUGAUGCCAAAGUAGUGAAAAACUUUGACACUAAAGCAUGGGUAUGUGUUACUGAAAAUUUUGAUCCUGUUAGCCUUACACAGAUUAUACUAAAGAAAAUAACUUCUUCUUGUGACUCUGAUGAUUUUGAAUCACUUCAGACUAAUUUGAAGGAUGAGUUGGUAGGAAAGAGAUUUUUAGUUGUUUUAGAUGAUGUCUGGGAUGAUCGAAGAGACAUAUGGGAGGAUUUUCUAAAACCUUUUCGGUACGAGAAUAAUGGAAGUAAAAUUCUCUUAACAACCCGUAGUGAAAAGGUUGCUUCUAUGUUCACAGCUAUUAAUCAACAAUACCGACUAGGUUUAUUGUCUGAUCAAGACUGCUGGUCUGUGUUUCUGAAGCACUCAUCUCUUUCUAUUAAUUCUGAACAAUAUGCAACUUUAGAACCAAUCGGUAGAAAAAUUGUUGAGAAGUGUAAGGGGUUACCUUUGGCUGCAAAAACACUUGGAGGUUUAUUGCGUUAUAAGUAUGAUGUAGGGGAUUGGGAGAAUAUACUUGAAAGUAAAAUUUGGAAACUCCCAGAAAAUGACAGUAAGAUUAUUCCUGCAUUAAGAGUAAGCUAUCACUAUCUUCCUUCACAUCUAAAGCGAUGCUUUAUUUACUGCUCAUUAUUUCCUCAGGAUUAUCAAUUUGAAAAAAAUGAAUUAAUUUUGCUGUGGAUGGCUGAGGAUCUCAUACUACCAAAAGAAAACUCCACGUUAGAAAAUAUUGGUUGUACAUAUUUUGAUGAGUUAGUUGCAAGGUCAUUUUUUCAACCUUCUAGCAUUGAUGUUGGUGUAUUUGUAAUGCAUGAUCUCAUGCAUGAUUUAGCAACAUUUUUUGCUGGAAAGUUCUAUUUCAGAGUCACAGAAUUUGGAGAUCUGCAAAAGAUUUACAACAAAACUCGUCAUUUGUCAUAUAUGGUAAAUCCUAACGAUGUAGUCAUACGACUUGGAGAGGCCUACAGGGGAGCAAUUCAUAUGAGAACAUUUCUGGUUGUUCAUUUGCUUGAUCAUUAUGAAUCAAUUAAUAUAACAAGUGAUUCUUGGCACUUACAAUUAUUAGAAUUGAGGUGUUUAAGAGCAUUGUCAUUUAAAUGUUUUUUUAUUGAGUCAUUGCCUGAUUCGAUAGAUAAACUGAUCCAUUUGCAUUAUUUGGAUCUCUCUUACACACCUAUUGUGGAAUUGUCUGAGUCAUUGUGUAAAUUACACAAUCUCCAAACGUUGAAGUUGACUUAUUGUGGUCAUCUAAAGAUGCUACCUAGCCGCAUGCAAGAUCUUGUGAACCUGCGCCAUCUUGAUAUUGAAGCAACGCCUUCGUUGAUAGAGAUGCCGAAGGGAAUGAGCAAGUUAAAACAUCUGAACUUCUUGAGUGGUUAUAUUCUCGGCAAGGAGGAGGAGAAUGGGAUAAGAGGAUUGGGAUCACUUGACAAUCUUCAUGGCUCACUAUGUAUUUCCAACUUAAAGAAUGUCAACAACAGCCGUGAAGCUUUGGAGGCAAAGAUGGGUAACAAGAAGCACAUCAACGUUUUAGAAUUGAAAUGGAUUCCAGAUAAUGAUGACGACGACGAUGGUGUUGAUUUUCAAAAAGAGAGAAACAUACUUGAGUUGUUACAACCUCACCGAAACUUGAAAGAGUUAUCAAUUGAUGAUUAUAGGGGUGAAAUAUUCCCUGAUUGGUUAGGCCUUUCUUGUUACUCCAAUUUAACUGACUUGAGUAUGUAUAGUUGUAAGAAUUGCCGUCAGCUUCCUUCACUGGGACAGUUACCCUCUCUAAAGGAUCUCAGGAUUUUUGGAUUCGAUGGGUUGGAGAGAAUUGGUGGUGAGUUUUACAACAACGCUGAAUCAUCUCAUCAGGGCACACCCUUCAGAUCUCUUCAAACUCUGAUAUUUUGUGGAAUGCCUCGCUGGCGAGAGUGGCAUACUCCUGAUGACUUUGAUGGAUUUCCGAAACUUAAAAAACUUGACAUAGCAGAAUGUCCGGUGUUAAGUGGAGAUCUGCCAGCUCACCUUCCGGAAAUGGAGCAACUUACCAUUUGGAAGUGCGAAGAGCUUGCAUGUUCGCUGCCGAGAGCUCCCAAGCUUCAAGAAUUACUUGUAAGUAGUUCUGAGUGCUUGGAGGAUGUGAAACCGCACGAGGUAGUAAUUGAAGAAACUCAGCAGGCGAAGUCCGUAUUGGAGUGCCUGCUCCACAUCCAAUCGCCGUCUCUCCAACGUUUGAAAAUCCAGAAGUGUUCGUCAGCCAUAUCAAUUUCAGGAGACUAUUUGCCGGAUUCAUGGCAAGAUCUGAGGAUAUCUGGUUGUUCAGAAUUAACAUUCUCAGAGCCAUUGCAACACAAGUCCCUAACGGAGAUACAUGUGUCCCGGUGUGAAUUACUGACGUUGUUUCCAUUGGGGUCCCUUCCAAAUCUCAAGAAACUCUCAUUCUCAGAAUGCCCCCGUUUAGCAUCCGUGCCGGGGCUAGGCUUUGCGCCGCCACACCUAGAGAUACUGGAAAUUGAUGCUUGCGAAGAAAUGGAUUCUUUUGGAGAGGAGUGCCUCCCGCCGAGCUUGACAACUCUUCGGAUCAGUAAAUGCGAGAAACUAGAGAGGUGGCUAACAUCCAAUGGUUUGCAGAGUGAAGAAUCUCCUUUGAGGUGCAAAGUGGAAGGGAUGAAGGAUCAACAAAUUCAAUCCUAAAGUUAUAACACAGGUUUCUCAACACAAUAUGAAGACAAUGUUUCUGAAUCCAAGGUGGAAAAAGAAGGCUGAGGCGUCAAGGUUGCUUAUAGCUGAAUGCUUACUAUAAGCAAAUGGAAGAACGUUCACUAUGAAAGUAAGAGAAAUGAGGAGCUCUUGCAUUGAGCUAAGCUGAGAAUGAUGAGGAGGUUUGCGAUUCCUGAGAAUGCCACUGGCAAGUUGUUAAUGGCACACAAGAAUAAAUUGGGGGCACUUGACAAUAAGGACGGGGAAGUUGUGUCUUAUGGGAGAUAAAGUUGAUGGAAGAACAUAUUAUAGGGCUACAAAUGGCUAUACAGUUCUUGUUCGAAGAGGUGAGUGUGAAGGAGGAGGACUUGAAGGUGGUCUUAGCAAAUAAAAAAUGAUGGUUGAAUGGAUAGAAGGAAAAAUUGAGUCCAAUUGGGAGAACCGGUUCUUGAGAAACAAAGUAAUAGAUAUGAAGGAGUUGUUCAAGAAUUUACAGGUGAAGUGUAGAACUGAAAAUGAAUUUAAAGACAAGCGAAGAUGGGAACAAGAGGCAAUGAACAAAGCAUAUAGCUGGGUGGAAUGGGUGCAAUAAGGAAAAAGUAGGCGUGCAGCAUCUUACUCCAUAUCGGCAUGAUUAGUUGGAGCUUAUACAUGUAAUAGAGUCCUUUUUGUUUGCUCAUGCGCUCUUGUUGUGUACCAAAUGGAGAGUUAUUAAUCCUUGAUGGCAAGGUCGAAAGGGAUUGUGUAACAACUCAAUAAAAUAAAAUAAAACAGGGAAAGAUAUGCAAAUGAAUAAAAUUGUGGGCCACAUUUCUUUUUCUUUUUUCCUAACCCUAAUCACACACAAACACACUCUCUCAACCUUCAGUCCCUCGCUAGCCGUCACUCAUAGGCUCAUAGCCAAAGAAAGAAUGGAACGAGAAGAUAGGGAGGAAUGAGGAAAGAACAUGAGAAGAAGAGGAAAGAACAUGGGAAGAAGAAGGAGAGGAAGAUGGCGCCGGUGAAGGGGAAACCGUUGAGCCACAGAAGAGGAGACAAUGAGAGACAGAGAGGGAGGGUUUGAGCUCGAUGGUGAAGAAGGGUGGUGCCGCUGUGUCGUCGAGCACGUCGUUGCUGGCGCUCUGUUGUCGGAGUCGCCGCCAGAAGCCCUAACCUUGCCAUCCCCUAAUCUGAUCGCUGCAGCUGCCGAGAAGGGUGGUGGUUGCUGCACCUCUGUUGUCAUUGUUGUGUGGUGUUGCUGCUGCUUGUUUUGGGUCGCUGUAUUUUGUUCUGACCUUGUUUCCCUGCCUUAUUUGGGACUAUUCUCCCAGGUUGAAACUACCACCUUCAACCUCACUUGGAUUCUAACUUCUAAUCUCUAUAUUGAUGGCAUUCCGGUGUUGGUCUUGGGUCUUUUAGGACUAAUUUGGGAUUAGGCUUUCCAAUGAUAACCGUUAACCUUAUACUUGAUGCUAUUAUGAGUUUUUAAUUAUAUUUAUAAAAUUAUUAUUGAAGAAUUUUGAUUCGAUUAGAAUAACUGAUUUAUUAUAGUUGAAUAAUUAUUUCUAUAAAGCUCAUAUCUUAGAAAUU